CGUGUUACAAUGGCAGGUACAGCGGGAAGCACCCGGCGACGGGGCGCGGAACCUGAAAACCUGUCUCAGUUCGGAUCGGAGUCUGCAACCCGACUCCGUGAAGCUGGAUUCGCUAGUAAUCGCGCAUCAGCCAUGGCGCGGUGAAUACGUUCCCGGGCCUUGUACACACCGCCCGUCAAGCCAUGGGAGCUGGGGGUGCCUGAAGGCCGUGACCGCGAGGAGCGGCCUAGGGUAAAACCGGUGACUGGGGCUAAGUCGUAACAAGGUACC
rnacentral:rRNA from 1 species